rnacentral:lncRNA from 13 species
CUUCCCAAAUUUAUAAAUGAGUGUGGCUGGCUUAGAGACACACUUGAUAUGGGAAGUCUGAAGAGAAGCUAGAUCAUCCCUCUUCUAAGGCAAGAUGUCAGACAGGGGUGGGAGUUCAGGAGGGCUAAGGUUUCCAUCUGAAACUCACAGACUAUCUAUCUGGCUAUAAUGGAGAAUUACAGGAUAAGAUCUGAAACACAGUGAUUCUGUGGCACUGGAUUAAAUUAUUUAGACUGUGGGCUCUCUAAAGAACAGUUUCUCCUGACACUUGAUCAUGAGUAAUAUUCCCAUGUCACGUGUCACUUCACCAAGCCUUCCUUCAUGUUGGGCUGAUGAGGAGGGCAAUGCUGAGAGCCUCUGAGCAGAAGCUGGAGCUGGAGUGCUGUUUCCAGGACACAGGUCCUGUGUGGGAGCACAGAUGUGGCUGUUGGCAUCUGAAUCUGUGCCUUCUCUUGAGCUGAGGACUGCUAACUGAGAACAUCAAGUGUAGCUCUCACAGACAAAACCCUCUGAAUUUUUCAAAGGAAAAAAUUGGAAAUAUUUUAUCACCUUUAAAACUUGACAAAAGAAGCACAUUUCUUUUUUCUUUUUCUUUUUGAGACUGAGUCUUGCUCUAUUGCCCAGGCUGGAGCACAGUGGCGUGGUCUUGGCUCACUGCAAUCUCUGCCUCCCAGGUUCAAGCAAUUCUCAUGCAUCAGCCUCCUGAGUAACUGGGAUUACAGGCACCUGUCACCACACCCAGAAGAAAUACAUUUCUAUUAAUUUAAGAUAAAGAGUCACAUUAUUCUUGUAUAAUGAAUGUAUGAGCUUCCUAGAGGAGUGAUAGAAUUGAGCUCUGGCCUUACAUUAUUUUCUUUUUGUUCUUAGCAUCAAGGCAGAGCCAAGACGAUAAAGAAAAAUGGAACAUUUUAAGGUUGGAUAACUUACCAAAGUGAAGUAGAAGAGAAGAGGAAGCUGUUUUUCCUUCUGUAAAGAAUCCCUCAUGAGGUGUGUAACAGAGAAACUGCUGAGGUCAAGGACUGCUUUUCCAGGAGUCUCCAGAAGAUGCUACUUCUCUGUGACCCCUUUGGCUUCCACAGCAUCUGUGACCAAAUACAGGUACUCUUGGAGAAACAAAUAAAAAAAAGAAUGGCUUUCCAGAUUUUGGAGAAGAAGGAAAAGGAGAG